rnacentral:rRNA from 1 species
GUGAGGAAUUUUCCGCAAUGGGCGAAAGCCUGACGGAGCAAUGCCGCGUGAAGGAUGAAGGCCUAUGGGUUGUAAACUUCUUUUCUCAGAAAAGAAUUAUGACGGUAUCUGAGGAAUAAGCAUCGGCUAACUCUGUGCCAGCAGCCGCGGUAAGACAGAGGAUGCAAGCGUUAUCCGGAGUGAUUGGGCGUAAAGCGUCUGUAGGUUGUUUAAAAAGUAUUCUGUCAAAGAUUAGGGCUUAACCCUAGAUAGGCAGAAUAAACUUUUAAGCUAGAGUUUGGUAGAGGCAGAGGGAAUUCCCGGUGGAGCGGUGAAAUGCGUAGAUAUCGGGAGGAACACCAAAGGCGAAGGCACUCUGCUGGGCCAAUACUAACACUGAGAGACGAAAGCGAGGGGAGCAAAUGGGAUUAGAUACCCUAGUAGUCC